CAGCACCCCGAGUUGUCGGGACGAUUAUUGGGCCUAAAGCAUCCGUAGCCUGUUCUGCAAGUCCUCCGUUAAAUCCACCUGCUCAACGGAUGGGCUGCGGAGGAUACCGCAGAGCUAGGAGGCGGGAGAGGCAAACGGUACUCAGUGGGUAGGGGUAAAAUCCAUUGAUCUACUGAAGACCACCAGUGGCGAAGGCGGUUUGCCAGAACGCGCUCGACGGUGAGGGAUGAAAGCUGGGGGAGCAAACCGGAUUAGAUACCCGGGUAGUCCCAGCUGUAAACGAUGCAGACUCGGUGAUGGGUUGGCUUCGAGCCAACCCAGUGCCGCAGGGAAGCCGUUAAGUCUGCCGCCUGGGGAGUACGGUCGCAAGACUGAA
rnacentral:rRNA from 1 species